rnacentral:rRNA from 1 species
GUGGGGAAUUUUGGACAAUGGGCGCAAGCCUGAUCCAGCCAUGCCGCGUGAGUGAAGAAGGCCUUCGGGUUGUAAAGCUCUUUCGGCGGGGAAGAAAUUGCACGGGUUAAUACCCUGUGUAGAUGACGGUACCCGAAUAAGAAGCACCGGCUAACUACGUGCCAGCAGCCGCGGUAAUACGUAGGGUGCGAGCGUUAAUCGGAAUUACUGGGCGUAAAGCGUGCGCAGGCGGUUUGGUAAGUCAGAUGUGAAAUCCCCGGGCUCAACCUGGGAACUGCAUUUGAGACUGCCAGGCUGGAGUUUGGCAGAGGGGGGUGGAAUUCCACGUGUAGCAGUGAAAUGCGUAGAGAUGUGGAGGAACACCGAUGGCGAAGGCAGCCCCCUGGGCCAAUACUGACGCUCAUGCACGAAAGCGUGGGGAGCAAACAGGAUUAGAAACCCGAGUAGUCC